rnacentral:tRNA from 1 species
GUCUGGGUGGUGUAGUUGGUUAUCACACUAGUCUUAUAGACUGGAGGUCCCCAAUUCAAACCUGGGCUUCAGACA